rnacentral:pre_miRNA from 1 species
UUUGAUGUGAAUUGGUUAUGUUUGGAUACCUCGCUUAAAAGUAAUUCAUAUAAGUUGAUGUUGUUUGGAUAG